rnacentral:rRNA from 1 species
GAUGAACGCUGGCGGCGUGCCUAAUACAUGCAAGUCGAGCGAACGGACGAGAAGCUUGCUUCUCUGAUGUUAGCGGCGGACGGGUGAGUAACACGUGGAUAACCUACCUAUAAGACUGGGAUAACUUCGGGAAACCGGAGCUAAUACCGGAUAAUAUUUUGAACCGCAUGGUUCAAAAGUGAAAGACGGUCUUGCUGUCACUUAUAGAUGGAUCCGCGCUGCAUUAGCUAGUUGGUAAGGUAACGGCUUACCAAGGCAACGAUGCAUAGCCGACCUGAGAGGGUGAUCGGCCACACUGGAACUGAGACACGGUCCAGACUCCUACGGGAGGCAGCAGUAGGGAAUCUUCCGCAAUGGGCGAAAGCCUGACGGAGCAACGCCGCGUGAGUGAUGAAGGUCUUCGGAUCGUAAAACUCUGUUAUUAGGGAAGAACAUAUGUGUAAGUAACUGUGCACAUCUUGACGGUACCUAAUCAGAAAGCCACGGCUAACUACGUGCCAGCAGCCGCGGUAAUACGUAGGUGGCAAGCGUUAUCCGGAAUUAUUGGGCGUAAAGCGCGCGUAGGCGGUUUUUUAAGUCUGAUGUGAAAGCCCACGGCUCAACCGUGGAGGGUCAUUGGAAACUGGAAAACUUGAGUGCAGAAGAGGAAAGUGGAAUUCCAUGUGUAGCGGUGAAAUGCGCAGAGAUAUGGAGGAACACCAGUGGCGAAGGCGACUUUCUGGUCUGUAACUGACGCUGAUGUGCGAAAGCGUGGGGAUCAAACAGGAUUAGAUACCCUGGUAGUCCACGCCGUAAACGAUGAGUGCUAAGUGUUAGGGGGUUUCCGCCCCUUAGUGCUGCAGCUAACGCAUUAAGCACUCCGCCUGGGGAGUACGACCGCAAGGUUGAAACUCAAAGGAAUUGACGGGGACCCGCACAAGCGGUGGAGCAUGUGGUUUAAUUCGAAGCAACGCGAAGAACCUUACCAAAUCUUGACAUCCUUUGACAACUCUAGAGAUAGAGCCUUCCCCUUCGGGGGACAAAGUGACAGGUGGUGCAUGGUUGUCGUCAGCUCGUGUCGUGAGAUGUUGGGUUAAGUCCCGCAACGAGCGCAACCCUUAAGCUUAGUUGCCAUCAUUAAGUUGGGCACUCUAAGUUGACUGCCGGUGACAAACCGGAGGAAGGUGGGGAUGACGUCAAAUCAUCAUGCCCCUUAUGAUUUGGGCUACACACGUGCUACAAUGGACAAUACAAAGGGCAGCGAAACCGCGAGGUCAAGCAAAUCCCGUAAAGUUGUUCUCAGUUCGGAUUGUAGUCUGCAACUCGACUACAUGAAGCUGGAAUCGCUAGUAAUCGUAGAUCAGCAUGCUACGGUGAAUACGUUCCCGGGUCU